rnacentral:lncRNA from 1 species
UGUUUAGAAAACUUUUUAUUGUUAAAGUUCACAGUAGUGCCAAUAUACAAGUAAUGGAAAUAAUCCUUUUUAUUUACAAAAACCAAUCAGAGACACAUGUUUGAAAGGCUUUUUAUUAAAAUUUACAGUAAUGCUUACCUACAUUUAUUAUUAGGUGGCAUUCUUUUGCAUAAUCAAUACUUUUUUUUUUUUACAGUGCUCUCUCAGAGGAGGAGAAAACUACUCUGCGUGCAGGGCUCAUCACCAACUUCAAUGAACCAAUAAACCAGAUUGCAACUCAGAUUGCAGUGCUCAUUGCAAAAGUUGCUAGAUUGGAUUGUCCCAGACAGUGGCCUGAACUAAUUCCCACUCUUAUAGAGUCUGUUAAAGUCCAGGAUGAUCUUCGACAGCACAGAGCAUUACUUACCUUCUAUCAUGUUACCAAGACACUGGCAUCUAAACGACUUGCUGCUGAUAGAAAACUAUUUUAUGAUUUAGCUUCUGGAAUUUAUAAUUUUGCCUGCUCUCUGUGGAAUCACCACACAGACACAUUCCUGCAAGAAGUUUCUUC